UGUAUCAUCAUUCAUCCAUCAUUUUUCUGUUUCCAUCUACUAUACAGGAUUUUAUCCACUUUGCGGUGGAGCAAAUUUCAGGGGCAAUUACAGUAUAACCAUUUAUACUGUAAUCAUCCCAUACUCCAACAAUAAAUCCAUGCCCUGCUUAGAAAUUUAUUUUACGGAUUUUAUCUUCUUUGCAGUGCAGCAAGUUUCAGAGACAAUUCCAGUAAAGUCAAAUCUGACAAAACCAAGGGCUUGCUUUUUGGCUUUUCGAUUUAUGCAUCCUCUAGCCUGGUUGAAAAACUCAGACACUCGGUCCUCGGACACUCAGUUGCCAGUGCGAGCAUGAAUAGCAUCUUACAUUCUGUGCAUGAUCUGGGCUCUACCUUGGAUUUGCAUAGUUUUGUGCCAUUCAAGGACUCACUCGAUCCAUCCAUGCAGAGUUCUCACAUGAGGGUCUUGUGGCAUCCCCUGCCUGUACAUAAAUCUGGAUUCCAUCCUGGAACUAUACAUUUUUGCACACUUGUAGUACUCACUCCAACACUUGUAGGAUUCCUACCAGUGUUAUAGAUUUGAUGUAGGAGCUCUACAAGUUUCAUUACAAGGAAAUGGAUCAUAAUUACUACAGCAACAUGAAGUUUCACAAAUUCAUCAUGUGACCUUUUGAAGUUGUGCUGAAUCUCAUAAAAAAUUCUGAAGUUUUCUUAAUAUAGUUUGUUCUGGGAACUACCAGCAAUGAUUUACACGCUGCAAAGCUGCUUACGUGCAAACUAACCUCACUUACUAAAGGGUGAUGCUUUGUAAAUCAACCCGGGUAAACGGCGUGGUCCUGUCGGUCCAGGCAUACCUGGUAAGCAAGUUGUCAUGACAUAAUUAAGUUCAGUCCAGCUGAAGAAAUGCUGGAGAUCUCAAUCUGUAUCUUCCAUUCUGUCCAUAAUCUGGACUCUCUAUCUUGGAGUUGUACAUUUUUCUACCCUUGUAACACUCAGUCCAUCCAUGCAUGAUGCAUAGUUCUCACAUGACGGUCUUGUGUGAUGUUCUUCAUGCACAUACAUCUGGUGUUCUUAUCUUCGCUUUGCUAUGCAUCAAAAUACUUCACUUAAAGCUUCGUGGUCAUCCAUGAGGACAUGGUGGUGUGCUUGCUAGUUCAGGACUAAAUGUGCUCUCGCAGAUGGUUUUCGAGUUCACUAUGCUUCCACAACCUUUUCAUAAGUUUACAUUUUCAGGUUUGCAUUUCAUUGUGACAAGAUGUUCUCCAAGCCGAUCAUCCUUUUAUCUUAUGUUGCUAGCCUCAUCGGUACUUGGCAUUGCAUUUCCUACAUUGGGAUCUAGCAUACUCCGCCGGUACAUCCGAACCCCUUGUGGAGUUUCUCACUAAAAAGAGUGAGAUGUGAGAGGUAAGAAACCAAGGUUGAUAGAACAGUUGAAUCAACCAUGAGAGAAAAAAAAGGUCAACAAGUAAAAUUACCCCCAAAGAAUAGAAGAAAAAAAGAGAGAAACUCCCGUUAAGCCACUUCAGUUUUCCAAUGAGUCCACCAUAUCUACCUAUCAUAGCAACUCCUCAUUUGAUAUUCCAAGUAGUGGAUUCUUUUGCCAUGCACAUUCAUAUUUUGCUUUGCACAUCUUUUAAGGAGGAAUAUUAGCCAUCAUUAUUAGCCCUUGUUGAAACUUGCCAACCAUUUUUGCUUUUAUUUUCAUUUAUUAGAGCUCUUGUUGGCACCUUUCAAGCUUUUGUAGGGCAGAGAAAAGGAAAGAAAAAAGAAAAAAAAAGGAAAAAGGAAAAAAGAAAAAGAAAAAAGGAAAAAAGAAAGAAGUAAAGAAGAACAAGAUAGGUGCCAUGUUUUCUCUCUAUCAAGCUCUUGGUCUUAAUUUAUAGCGAGAUGAGUCUUAUUUCUUAGGCUUAUACUUUCUCACUUUUCAUACCACCCAUUUAUUCAUCAUGUAGAGCUUAGCACUCAUAGCUAAUUCCAUUCAUCAUCAUGUAGUGGGAUGGUUUAUUUGCAUAUAUGCUUCCUAGGACUUCAUGUACAUAUCACUUCAUAUCCAUUGUGCAUACCUUGGAAAAUCCCUACUUCCCAUGCAACAUCGAAACCGAGGACAUUACACAUGCCUUGGGGUCACUCUGCGUUACAUGGGCCUAUCUUUUCCUUGUCGAGUCACUCCCAUCCUUUCACGUCAUUUUCUAACUAAUGAUCGGAAACACGAGGCAUCUUGGUUCAUGAUGACUGCUUACUUGACUAUGUGAUCCAUGCUUCCCAAGACAUGAAUUGGGAGCUCAAGAUGGGUUGAAUCCUUGGAAUGAUCUUGCCUGGAAGACUUUGUAUCAUGGAGCAUCCAUUUUAGUAUAUGGUACUAGAGCUACAGUUUUGAAGGAACACUAAAGAGUCAACUUCCUUAAGGUCCACAAUGCUGAUCACUUGACCAUUUCCCCCUGCCACACGAGCUGUGAGGAGGGCAAUAUGUCGAGGGAGGAGGGCAAGAUGUCGAGGGCGAUGAAAACCUACUCUCUGAGAAUCUCCUCCGCCUCCUCCAGCAGCCGUCCUCACUCCCCCGUGCCUCCCUCAUCUGCAAGCGCCAACAUCGCAUCGUAUCCAACAUCCACUUUUUAUGCCGCUUUCACUCACACCACCGCUAUAGCGCUCCCCUCCU